UGGGCGGAGGGGCUCGUUAUGGGAAAGGGGUGCGUGCGCGUUUGUGCUAAAACAAGAAAGGCAAGAAUCUCCGAGAACAAAACUCUGGUCCUCGCCUGGCCGGGGACCGCAGAAGACAGGGGCGGCGGCACCAAGGCGGGUCAGGGGCCGGUCCAGCCAAGUUUGCUCCGGCUUAGAUAAACUUUCUGAUGGCAGUUUUUCCUGGUUGCAGCCUGGGUUCCUUGUAACGGCGGGGAAACCCAGCCCCGCGCUCGUCUUUGGGGCCACCGGUCGCCCCCGCCUCCGGGACCUGCGGGGAGGGCCCGCGCGAGGUUUUUUAAUAUACAUACAAAACCCUGAAUGGUCAAUUUUUGUGUUGUAGAUGGAGACGAGAGAUCUGGACUUCUGAACAUCUACCAGAAAAGAUAAAAUGUGCAAGCCCUUCAGAACGCUGGGGAGGUUGGGCUGAACUGCAGUGGGAGAGGAGAAGAGAUGCUGGCGUGAAGGG
rnacentral:lncRNA from 1 species